rnacentral:misc_RNA from 1 species
AAGUCGUAACAAGGUCUCCGUUGGUGAACCAGCGGAGGGAUCAUUAAAGAGUAGUUUUUACAACAACUCCAAACCCAUGUGAACUUACCUAUGUUGCCUCGGCGGGGAAACUACCCGGUAGCUACCCUGUAGUUACCCUGUAAGGACUACUCGUCGACGGACCAUCAAACUCUGUUUUUCUAUGAAACUUCUGAGUGUUUUAACUUAAUAAAUUAAAACUUUCAACAACGGAUCUCUUGGUUCUG